CGAAGCAUCCGUUGACACUUAUCCAGAAAACCCUGAGCAUCCUCUCACUCAGCACCGCUAAAUGGUAGAGGUCGAUGCCUCUCAAAUCUCACAAGUCUCCUCUCCCUGCGAUUGAGAUGAACAGUAACCGGACAGCACAGUAAUGGCCACUGUGCCGUCGUCCGGUGGUGAAAAGCCACCGGACCAGUCCCAAAAUAACCCCAAUCCAAAGGCUAACAAACCCCAGUUGGGUGCUCCAUUAAUUUCAAACACAGAUGCUUCAGAUCUCCUCUUUGGUGACGCGAUUACUGUUGGAAUUUUCCAGCACCAUUCUUGUUCAGAAUUUGCAAUUCGAAGCCAUGGGGUUUGUUCUCCACAUCAAAAUCUAUCUCUCCGACAAAAUUCAGUCCGAGAUUCAAAACGAGCUGCUCCAAAUCUCAAAAAUGGCAUCGCGUUCACUGUAGCAAAUGAUUCUGGUUUGGCAGUGAUUGAAUAAACACAAGACGCAACAAAUUUAACGAAGACAAUUCUCAAGAAAACUGAAGUUGUUCAUGGCAUCCCAACUCUGCAGUUUACAAUGGAAGUAAGGGAAGAAUUUGCUAAGGAAGAAGGGCUACAUCAAGCUAUUGUUAUCAAGCUGUCUAAUGGCGCACUAAAUCUGGAAUUCUUGAGAACGUUGCUGCCAAAGAUUUUUGGCGUGAAAGGUAACAGCUUACUCGGUCUACUUGCACAAAGACAACUUCUUUUGCGUCUCGAUCAAUAUGAAGAUUUUGUCAUUGUACUAGUACGUAGUGUGAAUUAUUUCUCAUACAAUGGCAAGGAACACCAAGUUAGAAUUUUUCCAUGUACUAUUGGUUUCAAUCCUAACGAGGAAACUUCAAUGGCUGCCGUUUGGAUUUCCUUACCAAGCCUAUCUCCAGAUUUGUUUGCUCGUCGUUCCUUACUGUCCAUAGUUGCUGCUGUUGGGAGGCCAAAUGCAGUGGAUAAGGCGACGCAGGUGAGGUCGAGACCAAGUACAGAUAAAGUUAGGGUGAUUGUGGACUUGUUGGUUAAGCUUCGAACAAAAUUAAAAUUCAAAGUGUCGACAAAAAAACGGGAAAAAUUAUUGAUGUACUGCAGGAGGUGGUGUAUGAUAAUUUGCCGUUAUAUUGUUCUCAUUGUAAGCACCAAGGCCACGAUGAGAGUUCAUGUCGACAGCUCGUCGCCAAAAAUAAUGAGAAUGAUCAAGUUGAUGAAGGUGUUGAUGAUAAAUACAAGGGUGAUUUGAGGCAGCUGCUGAACGAAAGAAGAGGUAUGACAAAAGGUGAAAACGCAGCCGGAGAUCAAGUCGAUUCAGAUGGAAAUACUUAUGUCACAUCUGCAGAUGCUCAUGUGUUAAACGUGCCUCAUGCGAAUCAUGCACAUAAAGAAGUGCAGAGGAUUAUGAACAAUGCUCAAGGUCUAGGUAAGGCUGGGCGAAAAUUAGGGGGUGUAGGUGUGGAGCAGAUAAAGAAAAAGCCAAUUGGAGAUGAUGAGAGAUUGAAGGAUAUCCCUGCUUCUAUAGUUUUUGCAAGAAUGAAUAUAGCUACUGCUGUUUUUUUAAAGUUUGUUGCUGAUCGAGUUACUCUGCCAUUCUCCAUUCUGCCAUUCUCACUAUUCUUGUGUUAGUUACUCUACAAAGUGUAUAUUGUGACAAUCCUUAUCGAUAUUACACUUGGAAAAUCACUUAUGGAGACAUUUACCCUUUGGGUGUCAAACAACAGGGAAUCUUGAUUAAUGGGCAGUUUUCAGGGCCACAGAUUGACUGUUACAAAUGACAAUUUGAUUAUCAGUGUCUACAACUACUUGAAUGAGCCUUUCCACAUUUCUUGGUAUGACUUAUAAUCAAAGUGUAUUCCUUUUUUCCUUCUUAAUCCCAUGUUAAUGUCAUUCAGGUAAAGAAAAGAUGCAAUAUGUUGGAUAUUAAGCAAUGUGAUUGACAUUGUAUGGAUAUUUGCACAUCUUAAUGGGCUAACAAUGCGGAAACCCUUCAAGGCUUGAUUGAAGAAGUGGCUUAUUCCCACAUAUAUUAAGUAUGAUAAGGUUGCCAAUCCAUAUGGUGUGAGGUUGUAUCAGUUUUCAACCUUUUCUUCUGUAUUGAGACGAAAAUACAUUAACUCUUUAUGCGAUUGUUUUUGUGAAAGCAGGGAAAGUCUCAAAAUUUAGGUGCUGGACAGUGAAUAAUGUCACAACACCUACUGCAUUCAUAUUCUUAACUUGAAGUUUAUACUUGGAGAUGCUUCAAAAGUUCAAAUUAUCAUCUAGAAUAUGCUCCAUUUGUACUUGUUUUCUUUUUAAAUGGAAAUGAUGUGUGUCACUGGAGGUUGGAAGCCUAGUUGCUUCCUGUUUAGAUAUAAAGAUAAAACUCGCUUUGGUUCCUGGAACAUUUGUAGGGAGAGGCAAUGUUAUAUUCAGAUAAACAAGUAGACAAAUGAAGUUAGCAUUUUCAACUAGCCUAUCCAAAAACUUAUAGAAGCUUCUGACUUUUAUCCGCAUUUUUCUACUUAAGUUGCUUCCUUUUCUUUAUGUUAUUUUUCAAUCUCAUUUUUAUACAAACGUCUUUUUGCCAAUCUUUUGAAUUGAAUAUAUGUUGUAUAGGCCCUUAAAAAGGGUCGAGAUCCAACACCAAGUGAGAUACAUUUGCCCGUCCAUACACAUGGUAAUGACGGAAAAUCUUUUGUUGGUGAGAAAUCCUAAAUCGUACAUGUAAGUAAACUUUUUAAAUAGUUUUAUUGACUUUACUUUCAUAUCUUUUUUUAUUUUGUAAAUUGAAUACUCAAUAUUUUUUAAUGUUUCAAUUUACUAAUUAUUAACUCUUCUACUGAAAAAAUAUCAGGAAAUAUUACAACAGCAAACAUAGAGUCAAUCUGAUAUUGAUCAUUGUAAAGCAUAUUACGAAGUUGCGGGAGGAGAAAAGAAAAGAAGAGUAUAUGAUCUUGGAUCUCAAGCAAAAUGGUACUACGGGCCGAAUCUUCGUGACUCUUUUGGAUAUGAUGCAAUAUCCUCAGCAUCACGUUCAAAUGCUCAAUCAACACCGAUAGAAAAUCUGGAUGAGUUAGUGACACGAUUAAUUCCUGUACUGGCAGAUCAUAUAGUUCCUGUAAUUGUUGAGCGGGUACGCGAAUUAGUUUCUUUACCCUCGCCAAAAUUGAUCUUACCAACCAUCUAUCAGAUGUGGCACCUACAUUGCCUACCUCUUCUAAUGUUGCUAACAUUGAUGAGGUUCAUGCAUUUGUGAUGAUCAUUUAGCCUAUUUUGUUUAGACUUUAUUGUUGGUACUUGUGGAUGUUUUGUACUUAAAGAUACAGUUAUAAUCAUUAUGUUAUAUAUUUUGGACUUUGUUGAA